GACGAACGCUGGCGGCGUGCUUAACACAUGCAAGUCGAACGGUAAGGCCCUGCUUUUGUUGGGUGCUUGAGUGGCGAACGGGUGAGUAACACGUGAGUAACCUGCCUUUUACUUUGGGAUAACUUCCGGAAACUGGUGCUAAUACCGGAUAUUCGCUCCUGCUGCCUGGUGGGGGGUGGAAAGUUUCGUGGGUUGGGGAUGGACUCGCGGCUUCUGAGCUUGUUGGUGGGGUAGUGGUUUACCACGGCUUGGACGGGUAGUCGGCCCGAGAGGGUGGCCGGCCAGAUAGGGCCUGGGAUACGGCCGAGAGUCGUACGGGGGACAAUAGUGGGAAGUAUUGAAGAAUGGGGGGACGCCGGAUCCAGCAGGGCGGAGUGCGGGGUGUUGGGAUUCGGGUUGGAAAACGGUUAAGCCUGUAACAAAGCGGGAGUGACGGUAGUGGGUAAAGAAGCACCGGCUAACUACGUG
rnacentral:rRNA from 1 species